UUGAACUAGCAGCUGUGCAGUGCUGAGCUACCUGCUGGGAUUAAACUACAGCAUUCUCAGUGGUGCCUCAAAGAAAUAGAAGUCAGUGAAUUUCCUCUAUUUGAAAAGAACAAAAGCAAGUAUUUUUUUAAAUAUCAGGAGUAACAACAUUUUAUUAGAGAAGAAAGUUUCUCUUUUCUUGGAUUCUCAUGGAUGAUGGAAGAUAACUGAAGGUUAGAAGGAUGUAGGCUUACAGACAAAUCAGCAAUUAAGCCACUUGAUUCUUGCAUUUCAAAAUACGGAUUGACUUCAUGGAAAUAGAGCGCAGUAGUCAAGGUGCUGCCCAGCUCCCACAUCUGCCCUUCUUUAACUGAUCAUUAUUGAGUUUGGUCUGCAGUGCCCUCUCUCCUAUGCUCUGUGCCUUUUACUUCUCCACACAGCAUCCUGCGUUUCCACUGCCAUCGCAUCACAUCUGUAUUGUCCUAACAAAAACCCUUUGAUAACUGGUAUCCAAGUCUUUGCUCUAAGGGAAGAAUCAGUGAGAGAAAACACUCAAACUCUUGUUGUAUCUGCCAGGAUACAAAUAUGAAGCAAGUGGAAUUAUGUGACCACAUAAUUAAACAUUGUGUGCUUAUGCCUUAAAUAAAGAGUGUCCCUCAGAUAUCUCCAAGGAAAAUAAGAAAUCCCCUCUUGGAGCAUCAGGCUGAUAUCUCCUGACUUACAAGCAACUUUGGGAUCCUAUUACAGCGCUCUGGUGAAUGUCUGGCCAUUUGGCAGGAAUGCGGAGAGACAUCCUCAUUUCACAGCUGUCAGCUCACUGCAGGGAAGGGAUGUGAGGGAUGUUAGAAUUUAGGAAUCCCAAUUCUGUUUCAAUUAGAGACAACCCUGUCAUUGUGUCCACAAGCCCAAACUCCUGCCUGCAUCUUUGUCUUCAUCCAAAUCCAAGGCUUUCUCCAGUACUGCCAGUAACAAUUCUGUUUGGCUCCAAGCUUCUUGCAGUGGCUUAAGAACAGUGAAUAAUUAGUCUCACACAUAAAUCUGGAUGCGGAUGUGCUCCCAGCAGGGUUGCCAGAGCUGCACAACUACAUGACUGCUCCACCAUGGUGUGAAUAAGACACAUGCCACAACAGAGUGAGCUAGCAGGGAGGAAAGUUUAUAGCCUCUUUUACUUGACCUCCUCCUAUUUUCUGUUUAUUUAUUAUUCAGUUCUCAGGUGCUUUGUUUGAACUCAGUCAGGAAGAUGAGACAAAAACAGUGUAUAAGAUCUAGCACAUAACUUUGCACUCAUCUGUUUAGUUCUACAAGACUGAAUGCACAAUUCUAUAUUUAAUUUAUAUAUAGCUGCCAUACCUCUGCAGAACUAAAUAGCAAAGGUUAGACACAAGGAAUACAAUUUAAAUGGUCUGAAAUUGUUUUAAAGAAUAUCCUGGAAACUACUUGGGAAUAACUCAUGAGGGUGAGAUUUCAUUACAAAAAAAAUAGAACACCACUAAAGCAGAAGACAGAAACUUCAAAUGCGUCAGAGAAAGACCCAAAUCAAAUUGACAGACACAUUCAGAAACUGAAAACAUGUCAGGAUUCCAGACCAAUGGUAAUAAGAGAGAGUAGCAAGCACAUAGAUUUGUAUGGACAACGGACUUAAGAAUUACAAAGGCCAUUUAAGUGUGUAAAAUCUGUGAAAGCAAUAAACGGAACAGCUCAAAGAAAGUAGGAAAAUAGUGUUAAGAUAGACUGGAGAGGAUCCAGGGUCAAUAUUGUUUAAAAAAAAAAAAGGAAAAAAAUGUUAAAAUGGUUCGAGUUCAUAAAGACAAGAACGGGCUAAUGAUCUUAAUCCAAGGAAGAAGGUACCUCUGUAAGAGAAAACAACUGUAAAAGGAGGUGAAACUCCUUUACACAUGAUGCAACUGUGCUUUAAAAUAUUGUUUGAAAUUAGUACUGAAAUGAAGCUAAGCAAAUUAUUUAUGUAUUUUGGUAUCAAACCGGAACACUAUUCCUUCUCUUAGGUCAAAGAUAUCUUGAAGUGCUGUCCCAUUAUUAUAAAUUAUUACAUGGAAGCUACAGAUGGAAAUGUAAGAGCUUGCUUUUAAUUGCCAGCUGAAUAUAGAGCAGACCUAGAUGUCUGGCAAAUACAGUGCAUAAUGGUCAAUAUGAAAGGAACACAAUUAUGGUUAACAUACUUGUGUUGCCAGUUGUAUCUGGUGCCUGAAAAUAAAGAAUACCACCUAGGAUAAGAUGGUAUGAUAAACAGAUGAUCUAUGAUUACAACCCAUUAAACAAUGCCAGACAACCAUAUGGUAGAAAGCUGAUAACAAGAAGUAACCCAGAAUCAAGAAUUUGAAUAGCUUAGGGUACAUAGCAUAUAAAAUGUACAGGAGGGCCAAUAACAGUCAUUAUAUAUGGAUAGUUAGAUUUAGUUUAUUCUCAUCUGGUGGUGUUUUGUCACUAAUAUAUUACGCAGUUUCAUUUGUGUCACUUUGAUUCAGUAUAGAACAGUAAUGAAACCAGUUUGGGAAUAUGUGUAUCUUGGAAGGUAUAGUGAAGAAUUUCAGAGCUUACAUUUGGUAAAAUUUGUUUAAGAAAUAGCAAUGGGAACUAUUUUCAUUAGACUCGUUUUCUUUUGUUUUUAUUUCAACCAAUAACUGCUUGACAAGAUAAUGUAUCUUCUGUCCAGCCUAGCAAUUCUGUUCAUGACUUACUUCUGACGUCAGCAUCUCAGUUAAUCUGUCUGACCCACUUUGUUAAUUAAUUCACCAGUGUAAUCUGGUCCACGGAUAAAAUAAUUUCUCACUAGUUUAUGAGGCAAUCACUGAAGUGAGAACUCUGUUGUCAUCACUGCGUGGCCUCAGUCACAAUCACAAUUAUAUUAUUGCUCUAAGUC